rnacentral:rRNA from 1 species
UACGUAGGGUGCAAGCGUUGUCCGGAAUUAUUGGGCGUAAAGAGCUCGUAGGCGGUUUGUCGCGUCUGCUGUGAAAACCCGAGGCUCAACCUCGGGCCUGCAGUGGGUACGGGCAGACUAGAGUGCGGUAGGGGAGAUUGGAAUUCCUGGUGUAGCGGUGGAAUGCGCAGAUAUCAGGAGGAACACCUGUGGCGAAGGCGGCCCCCUGGUUGGAUACUGACGCUGAUACGCGAAAGCGUGGGGAGCAACAGG